rnacentral:rRNA from 1 species
CAGAGGGGGCGAGCGUUGUUCGGAAUUACUGGGCGUAAAGGGCGCGUAGGCGGCCCGCUAAGUCGAACGUGAAAUCCCCAGGCUCAACCUGGGAACUGCGUCCGAUACUGGCAGGCUUGAAUCCGGGAGAGGGAUGUGGAAUUCCAGGUGUAGCGGUGAAAUGCGUAGAUAUCUGGAGGAACACCGGUGGCGAAGGCGGCAUCCUGGACCGGUAUUGACGCUGAGGCGCGAAAGCCAGGGGAGCAAACGGGAUUAGAUACCCCGGUAGUCCUGGCCCUAAACGAUGAAUGCUUGGUGUGGCGGGUAUCGAUCCCUGCCGUGCCGAAGCUAACGCAUUAAGCAUUCCGCCUGGGGAGUACGGUCGCAAGGCUG